AGGGAAGCAACCCGGGCAAAACCCGGCUUAAGUAACAGCAAAGCUAUUCUUAGGCUGCCCAUCUUCCUGUCUUCUGAGGCUUGUGGGACCUCAUUUAUGGAGUGCAAGGCAUCAGGGUGGGUUAUUUUGGGCUCUUGGAAAGGACGUGGGGCUGGGCCCAGAGCAGAGUAAAGACAGCUCCAGGGAAAGCUCAGCUCCAGCACCUCACCCCUCAUACCAUGGGAUCCUGACUUUCUUGGGCUAAGGUCCUAAGGACCUAGAACUAAGUCAAUUACCUCAAGCUCUCAGUUAUUUUCCAUUACCAAGCCACCAGACUUUACAUCACUUCGAACUGAUUGCCUUUGGUGCCUCCUUGUCUCAUUGGAGUCCUCCUCUCCAGCCUUGGGUGGCAGAAAUGUUUUGGGCAAUGAAUUGACAGCUACAUUGAGAAAACGAUGCUGAGUGCGUCCAUGAUGGAAUUGUGUUGGCAUUUCCAAGCUAAUAUGGAUUACAGUGAGGUGUGAAGUUAUUCUGAAAUACCUGUUGCACUUGCUGUUGGAUCAGUCUUAUUCUGGGAUGGGAAUGCUUGUUCCAAUUUAGCUUAAUCCUUUCCAAAGCUAACUAAUGUAAAGCAGGCCAAGGCACUCCUGGCACGUGCCAAAGUGUAGUUACUCAGAAGAAACCUGAUGUGCAGGGGAGCCCUUCAUCAGUUCCUCUGUGAGGAUGUGGCUGUGCUGCUCUGUGCGGUCUGUGUGGUGCUGUGAGAGGAGCAGCCCUGGAAGAGCAUGAAGAUUUUACUCACUUUUACCAAAGGGAUCUGGGCUGGUUUGGAACGGAGAGGACCAAAUCCUCCUCUUCCUCCUUAGCACCAGUGGGGUGUGAGCAGCUCUUGUGAACCAGGAGAAAGCUGACCCUGUGGGACUGGGGUGAGGGUUCCCUGGCUGGCUCUGUGUGAUGCUCUGCAGACCCUCGUGUCGACACAGAGGGUGAUGAUGUGGGGAGAGCAGGGUGAUGCUUGACAUCCGCACUGGAGCUAUGUGGGGUUACAGUGUGUAACCAGGGUGGUGAACGCACACGGUGUCUGCUC
rnacentral:lncRNA from 1 species